rnacentral:rRNA from 1 species
CCUACGGGUGGCAGCAGUGGGGAAUAUUGGGCAAUGGAGGCAACUCUGACCCAGCAAUGCCGCGUGAAUGAAGAAGGUCUUCGGAUUGUAAAGUUUUUUAAUCAGGGACGAAGGAAAUGACGGUACCUGAGGAAUAAGCCACGGCAAACUAUGUGCCAGCAGCCGCGGUAAUACAUAGGUGGCAAGCGUUGUACGGAAUGAAUGGGUGUAAAGGGAGCGUAGGCGGUCUGUUAAGUUGGAAGUGAAAUCCCGGGGCUCAACCCCGGAACUGCUUUCAAGACUGACGGACUUGAGUGUAAGAGAGGUAAGCGGAAUUCCUGGUGUAGCGGUGGAAUGCGUAGAUAUUAGGAGGAACACCAGUGGCGAAGGCGGCUUACUGGAUUAUAACUGACGCUGAUGCUCGAAAGCGCGGGUAUCGAACAGGAUUAGAUACCCUUGUAGUC